rnacentral:rRNA from 1 species
AUUGAACGCUGGCGGCAUGCCUUACACAUACAAGUCGAACGGCAGCAUGGAGAGCUUGCUCUCUGAUGGCGAGUGGCGAACGGGUGAGUAAUGCAUCGGAACGUACCGUGUAAUGGGGGAUAACGUAGCGAAAGUUACGCUAAUACCGCAUACGACCUGAGGGUGAAAGCAGGGGAUCGCAAGACCUUGCGUUAUACGAGCGGCCGAUGUCAGAUUAGCUAGUUGGUGAGGUAAAGGCUCACCAAGGCGACGAUCUGUAGCGGGUCUGAGAGGAUGAUCCGCCACACUGGGACUGAGACACGGCCCAGACUCCUACGGGAGGCAGCAGUGGGGAAUUUUGGACAAUGGGGGCAACCCUGAUCCAGCCAUGCCGCGUGAGUGAAGAAGGCCUUCGGGUUGUAAAGCUCUUUCGGCCGGGAAGAAAUCGCGCAGGCUAAUACUCUGUGUGGAUGACGGUACCGGCAUAAGAAGCACCGGCUAACUACGUGCCAGCCGCCGCGGUAA